rnacentral:siRNA from 1 species
CCGGGCGUCGAACAGUCAGCU